UGCCAGCAGCCGCGGUAAUACGAACCGUCCAAACGUUAUUCGGUAUCACUGGGCUUAAAGCGUGCGUAGACGGCUUGGUAGGUGUGAUGUGAAAGCCCGGGGCUCAACCCCGGAAGUGCAUUGGAAACUGGCGAACUUGAGUACGGGAGAGGAAAGUGGAAUUCCGAGUGUAGGGGUGAAAUCCGUAGAUAUUCGGAGGAACACCAGUGGCGAAGGCGGCUUUCUGGACCGAUACUGACGCUGAGACGCGAAAGCGUGGGGAGCAAACAGGAUUAGAUA
rnacentral:rRNA from 1 species